GUCCAUCAGUUUCCGUUUGUGCAUCUCGGUUGAAGCAAGGUGAUACUUGUCCGAGAGCCUUCUAAGGGCGACCGAAAGUCCUAAAGUAGCUAACAAGAGUUGAGGUGAUAGCCUCUUUGAGAUGUUACCUGUGAGUUGUGAAACGUUGCAGGACUAGUAAAAGCUAGUGUGAAGAUGGAGGUGUGCCGCAAUAACAUAAUCAUAGAGCAUAAGUCUUUUCGUUGGAUAGAAGUAAGCACAUGCCGACAGGGUGAUGACUUUACCAGAUAAGGGCAAGCGUGAUAGCCUUGCCAAACUCUGGACUAAAUCAAACAAUCCAAUUUGCCGUGAACAGAAGAAAUUCUGGUAUAAGAAAAGCGCUUAGUAUGAGUAGCACAAGGCAAACAAACAGAUAAUUAUAUGAAAGCAUAUCAUAACAAAUCUGUAUCGUGUGAAAGUUGGUGGGUUUCGUUCCCAGCCCUAACAUUAAAAGCAAUAGGAGCUUAAGGAGUUGCUACUUUAAGUAGAGCCUAUUGGGUUAGUCGCUUAAUAAUGAGAGUGUUAUUGUGGUUGGAGAAAAACCGCACAAUUAAGGGUUAUUCG
rnacentral:sRNA from 12 species